rnacentral:tRNA from 1 species
AAGACUCUAGUAAAAUUCAAUUACCUUGCCUUGUCAAGGCGAAAUUGUGGGUUGGACCCCCACGUGUCUUG